AAGUCUAUGAUGAGGACACCUUUUCAACAGAUCCCUAAAUCUCUCCCAUGUAUCAUACAUUGCCUCAAGGUCAAAUUGAACAAAAGAAGAGAUGUCAUUCCUCAACUU
rfam:Gossypium raimondii Chr13_contig_320, whole genome shotgun sequence.